rnacentral:tRNA from 1 species
AUCUGGGUGGCUCAGUCGGUUGAGUGUCCGACUUCAGCUCAGGUCAGGAUCUCACGGUAUGUGGGUUCGAGCCCCGCCUCGGGCU